CCCACAUCCACCACGGCUCCCCCGUGCUACCUGCCUCCGUAGAAUCUGGCGCAGCUUCAGGCCUUGUUUCCCCCUGCACAGCGCCACCCGUCCCCUUCAUGCCUCCAGGGUACCCGGUGCGCCGCUCUUUGGCGGUCGACCGUAUGCGCAGCCAAGAGGGUCCACAUGCGCCGCGUCGGGAGUCCACCCGCUCUCACCUCGUUGAUUUUCCCGGCACGCUACCCUGCUCAAUCAACGGCCUGAGAAGCCAUCGCCAGGGCGCCCUUGGGACUCCAUCCUUUCUGACGCCAUCUACUAAUUUGCUGCUACUCGGUAUGUGUCCGUGAGAUUUUUUUUACAGAUUUUGUGUGUUUUGUUUGCAUCCCUGGCCGCCCAUCCUCUACUGCCGCCGGCCGGGUGGCGCCCCACAUAUCCACAGCAUCGCAUCGCGACGCCUCCUACUGCAUCACAUCGUCCCAGCUACUGCUUUGCGGCGGCCGCCCACCGCGAGCCCUUGCCUUAUCUACCGGCUGGAAGUUCACGAUGCGUGGCCCGCGUAGUUCACCACGCCUCGGUUAUUCACCGUUCCGCCCCCAGCAUCUCGGGCGCUCCGCUCCAGAAGUUCACGGCGCCCAUCUAUGGCAGUUGACCAUGUGCAGUAUCUUUGCACCCCCGGCCAGCGACGCCUACUUCCGCGGCCGUCAGUGCCUGGUCUCCUGUCUCCACUGGCUGCUGUGCACUUUCUCGCCCUGCCUAGCAUCUCCCUUGUAGUACCCGUGCGCAUCCGCAAAUUUAAGAAAGUUAAGAUUGAUCUAUUACGAAAGUUAAGAAAUAUGAUGGUUGCAAGUUCUUAAUUUUUGCAAGUAGUAGUUCUUAAUUUCAACAAUCAUCAAUGUAUAUGGCAAACCUCCUAUGUAAUGUACGCGGUCUCAUUCAAUAUUCCAGUUUCAUGUAGAUUUUUUUUGUAUGUCAAAACUAGUUAUUUUGCUUAUGCCACUGAAUAUCAUUUUUCGACUCACCUUUUGAUGAAUGAGGGUUCGAGUAAUUUGUUUUUCACAACAUUGGAACAAGCUAUAUAGGGUCUGAAGUAUUAUACGCGACGAGGAUAUGAAUUGAUGGCUUAUGCUUUAAAAUGAACCUCUUUAGCAAGAGGAGCAGCAUGAAUCUGCAUCUAUUUUUUGAAUGGAUGAUUGCACUAAAAAAUGAUUGUUAUGCAGUGCCUGUACUAAUACAAAAUAUAUGUCUGAAAGUGCACAUAGGAGAAAAUAGGUAGUUCAUUGUAUAUAAAAUAAUAGAAGUGCUCUUCAUUUUGUAACCUUGCCUUCUUCCGUCCAGAAAUUUCAUCACUAAGUUUGUUUGUUAUUCACAGAAAGUUCAUUCAUUAGAGGAAGUUCACUUUGGAUUGAAAAAUAGUUCUAUUAGGCCGCACAUGGAGCCUUCCAGUUGAAGAAGUUAUCCAGUCAUGUGUUGUUCCUCGAUUUGUGUAGUUUCUUACGAGAGAGGAUUUUCCCAACUGCAGUUUGAAGCCUCCAUCUGCGACGUGUGGCCCACGACCAAGAAGGCUUCCAUGCAGCCGCCGGGAGCCCAUACCAUUUAAGUGUGAAGAAUAGCUGGACGAGAGUCUCAGCCAUGUCGCUGGGCAGAACCCGGGGCCUAUACUGAGGGCCGCUCGUGCUAUGCAGUCCUGAGCAAGCCAUUCUCAACUCUAGUGACCGCUGCUUCGGACCUCUGUAUAGCACGGUGCCUCGGCAAAGUUCGCGCCUUUUUUUAAUUGAAAGUUCACUACAUAAGUGGGAAGGAGUUCAAUCCAAAGAAAUACAGCAGCUUGCUAUCAUUCAAAACUUGCUUACAUGAUUAGCUUACUUUUCGAAUAGAAGUUCCUUGCUUUCUAACUGAAGGUAGAUGUAGUUCUACUACUAAUAUGUCCUACUGUGUUAUCUCACCGAAUAUUUUUUUGGGCAGGUCUCGUCUCUUCUGGUCUUUGGGUCAUGCAUUGUGCAUGUUGCGUAAUGCCUGGAAGAUUGCUUUACCGCGACAUGAAGUUUGGUUUCCCAGGUGCAUGACUGUGAACUCUUAUGAGCGCCUCCGUGGACUCCCAGGCGGACCACUGCCAGACAACUUCACUCACUUCAUGGAAGCAAUAAUGUGUCAGGAGUCCAUGGCUUUGGCGAGUCUCUCAUGCCCAGGUCAUCCUGCUCCUCACAUUUGUCGACUAUCGUUGCUGCUAUGCGAAAUUCUAUUGCUGCAUGUGAUUUUAUUCUUGGUCGUACUUGCUUGUUUAUUGACAGCAUUGAGCAGUUCACUUGUUAAUUGUGAGCAACUCAAUUAGGCCAAAAUAGGCAGUGCACUUUCCUGUUAAAAAAGAUAGCAGAAAAUGCCCUCGGGUUACUUGUUAGUUUUAGGAAGUUCAUUCGUUCGGUUUAGACAGUGCACUUGCCAUUUCCAUCUAUUGGACUUAGAUAGUUGAUACGUCUCAAACGUAUCUAUAAUUUCUUAUGUUCCAUGCUAGUUUUAUGACAAUACCUACAUGUUUUGUU